GAUAAAUGUUAUUAGAACUCUAGAAGAAAUUAAACCAUGAAUUAAACAUGUUAUUUUGUCCUUAUGUCGUGGUGCAUAAAUAUGAUAACAAACCACUUUUUUAUAGGUGUGCAUGUAGCUUGUGUCGUACUCAACUGCUGACAGAUUACAUUGAAUACCGUUGUUGUCAAGAGGUUGGGCCUACUUUACAUAAACUGGUAUUUGAUGGUAGCAUUUAAAAAAUUAGCUGUGUUACUCUUCACGAAGAGUACACGAUUAUGACACAUGCUACAGUCUUGAAGAAUGUUGGCUCACUCCUAAGAGACCAAGAUGAAAGGUCAUACAAGCGUCGUAGAAUACAUGAAAAUGAAUACUUGAGAGCAGUUGCAUACCGUUGGGUCAUUCGAUGGCUGUGUGGAUGCCUUGGUUGGGAAAAUUCUAGACCAUUACCUGCAUGUAUCUACACAGACAUCCGAAAACGAUUUCCAUUACAAAAUCCCCUAGGCCAAGAACAUGCUGGCUACAAGUCAGCACAGGAAAGAAACUGAUACAAGUAGGAAACAUUUUUUGUAGCAUAGUAUAUUAUUUUAUAACUAACUUUAAAGUUGGCCUGCUAAGAAUAUUUGUCAAGUAAUUCUUGUGGACAAUGACUUUUUGGAUGUCCUUUCAUUGGCUGUCCACAAUUUUUGCAUAAGUGCGUUUUUUUGGAUCUGAAGGACCUGUUGAAGCAGCUUGUUUUUCUUUGUCGAAAUCUUUUGCUUGCAGUACAUCUUGCUGUUGAUCUAUAAAUAACAAUUUAAUGUGUUUACUUUUAGAAUGCACUGGCCAUACCUAUUAUACAUGGUAGCAUGAACAACUUACAUGUGGCAAACAAUGGUGUUGAAGAAAGUUGUUUCCUAUCCAAAUGCCGUUGGAUUGCCUCAGUUUUGGAAAUUCGAUCCGAGAAAGUUUUGUUUAAUGCUUCUAAGACUUUUCCUUAUACUUCUUAAAUAUGUUGUCCAUGGAUUCCUCACAACUAAGAACCAUGACAUUUUUGAUUUCAUUAACAUAGUCUGGAAAAAUGACAAGUGGUUAGAUGUGUAAGUCAAGAGUACCAAUG